GACGUAGGUGGCGAACGUUAUCCGGAAUUAUUGGGCGUAAAGGGUGCGUAGGCGGCAUGAUAAGUUAUUGGCGGUAAAUCGAGGCUCAACCUCGUGGAAACUGAUAAUACUGUUUUGCUUGAGUACAGGAGAGGUUAACGGAAUUCCAUGUGGAGCGGUAAAAUGUGUAGAUAUAUGGAAGAACACCAAUAACGGCGAAGGCAGUUAACUAUUCUGUUACUGACGCUGAGGCACGAAAGCGUGGGGAGCAAAACGG
rnacentral:rRNA from 1 species